rnacentral:rRNA from 1 species
GGAUAUGGGCCUUGAGAGAGGGAGCCCAGAGAUGGACUCUGAGACAUGAGUCCAGGCCCUACGGGGCGCAGCAGUCGCGAAAACUUCGCAAUGGGGGAAACCCCGACGAGGGAAUUCCAAGUGCCAGCACUUUGUGUUGGCUGUUCUUCUGUCUAAAAAACAGGAGAAGUAAGGGGCGGGUAAGACGGGUGCCAGCCGCCGCGGUAAUACCCGCGCCCCAAGUGGUGGUCGAUAUUAUUGAGCCUAAAACGUCCGUAGCCGGUCUUCUAAAUCCUUGGGUAAAUCGGGCAGCUCAACUGUCCGAAUUCCGGGGAGACUGGGAGACUUGGGACCGGGAGAGGUCAGAGGUACUUCUGGGGUAGGGGUAAAAUCCUGUAAUCCUGGAAGGACCACCGGUGGCGAAGGCGUCUGACUAGAACGGAUCCGACGGUGAGGGACGAAGCCCUGGGGCGCAAACGGGAUUAGAUACCCCGGUAGUCCAGGGUGUAAACGCUGCGGGCUUGGUGUUGGGGGUCCUUAGUGGGCGCCCAGUGCCGG